CAGCAGUGAGGAAUAUUGGUCAAUGGCCGAGAGGCUGAACCAGCCAAGUCGCGUGAGGGAUGACGGCCCUACGGGUUGUAAACCUCUUUUGUCGGGGAGCAAAGGGAGUCACGUGUGACUCAUUGAGAGUACCCGAAGAAAAAGCAUCGGCUAACUCCGUGCCAGCAGCCGCGGUAAUACGGAGGAUGCGAGCGUUAUCCGGAUUUAUUGGGUUUAAAGGGUGCGCAGGCGGAGGUGCAAGUCAGCGGUCAAAUUGCGGGGCUCAACCCCGUACUGCCGUUGAAACUGCAUCCCUUGAGUGCGCGAGAAGUAUGCGGAAUGCGUGGUGUAGCGGUGAAAUGCAUAGAUAUCACGCAGAACUCCGAUUGCGAAGGCAGCAUACCGGCGCGCAACUGACGCUCAUGCACGAAAGCGUGGGUAUCGAACAGGAUUAGA
rnacentral:rRNA from 1 species